UACGAAGGGGGCUAGCGUUGUUCGGAAUCACUGGGCGUAAAUCGCACGCAGGCGGAUUGAUAAGUCGGGGGUGAAAUCCCGGGGCUCAACCUCGGAAUUGCCUUCGAUACUGUCUGUCUUGAGUCCGGGAGAGGUGAGUGGAAUUCCUAGUGUAGAGGUGAAAUUCGUAGAUAUUAGGAAGAACACCAGUGGCGAAGGCGGCUCACUGGCCCGGUACUGACGCUCAUGUGCGAAAGCGUGGGGAGCAAACAGG
rnacentral:rRNA from 1 species